UGGUCAAAAUAUUUAUUUAUUCGUGUCCAAAUAAAAUGUUAAAUAUUAACAUGUGUCUGUUUAGAAUUGCAUAUUUAGUUAGUGUUUGAUAUUAGGUGAAGCAAAUAAAUACCUAUUGCGAAUUUGUUAUUCUUUAGUAUUACGUAAAAACUGAAGCAAUCUAAUCAAUAUGCUGCCACAGAAGCGGCAGGAAUGUUAAAUUAGCUAAUUUCUAUAUUUUCGGCCAUCAUUAAAAUACAACUGAAAAACUAUUCUAUAUCAUGUUCUUAAAAUACUGGUCAAUAAUAUUAGGAAUAUUUAAAAGCAAGAGGUUAAUGUUAAAGCUAAAGCCCAACUUGGAAUUUUAUUUCUAAGUAUAGAACAAAAGCUUAGUAUGUAAUGAGAUAGUCGCCUACGCACUUUGAUGUAUGGCAUGUUAAGAAGAAGACUAAAACUUCUUCUUCUUGUUCUUCUUUUUGUGUAGACAUGAGUCUGUCUGUUUGUUCAUUGUGCCUCUAGUAAGUCGUCAUUCCAUCGUUUUUGUGGUAUUCCCACUGAUCGUCUACGUAUUACAGAACCGCCUCUGGUAGCGUGCAAACCCGCUACUUUGCAGAAUUUAUUUUAAUGAGACCCACUCUGCAUUUAGAGGUCCUCCCAGGUAUCUGUUGUUUUUCAUUUUUAGCAAAAAUUCAUUAGUCGUUCCAUCUAUACUCUUUUUGUGUACCCUGUAUAUAAAUUGUCAAUUUUAAAAUGAAGUUAGUUAUGCCCAAUUUAAAUUAGAAAAAUUAUUUCCAUUCUCUCAAAUAGUAUUUAUUAACAAAAUAUUGUCAUUUUCAUUUUAAACCGUUUAAUUAUUUCCAGUAGUCGUUCUUUCUAAAUAUUUUAUUCCGAAGCAAAGUUAUUUAUCAAUCCAUUAAUUUUGUUUGUAAUUUUAAAACGUUCAACUUUGCCAAUUUCAAUAAGAGUGUCUUUUUCGUUAUUAGCUAAUACUGACCUUCAAUUAAUUUCUUUCACUUUCAUAAAUACCAUGCUGGUGCCUUUCUGGUUCAUUUCUAUAAUAUCCGCCAAGUAGGUAGCAUCAAGUAACUACAGACCUAAUUGGCACCCAGGAGAAGGGCGUGGCCCUAGCCUUAACACGUCCGUUUUGGGCCAUAGAUUAGUAUGUUUCCCAGAUAAGUAACCACGUGAAUAGUAAAGUAGCACUUCCUCGAGAGAGUCACCCAUGGGUUCGACGAACAGUUAAUUAGCACCGGAGGCAACCACUGUACAUCAAAUUUCCACCUAACGCCUCCCGAAGAAGAUCUGGAGCUGUAGAUAACCUAGGACAGCACCGGAAAAAGCCUUCACACCACAAGCUAAGUUUUUAAUUGAAUCUUGUAUUUGCCUGUUAGCAGAGACAGUUUUUUUAUAUAAAGUAACUUCACAAUGACUAUAAUGUAGAUCCUGAAUUAUAACCAAAGAAAUGAGAAAAUAAAGCAUUUAUACCGAAA
rnacentral:lncRNA from 1 species